ACGAACGCUGGCGGCGUGCUUAACACAUGCAAGUCGAGCGGUAAGGCCCUUCGGGGUACACGAGCGGCGAACGGGUGAGUAACACGUGAGCAAUCUGCCCUUCUCUUUGGAAUAACCAUUGGAAACGAUGGCUAAUGCCGAAUAUGACUUUUGAAUGCAUGUUCUUGAGUGGAAAGCUCCGGCGGAGAGGGAUGAGCUCGCGGCCUAUCAGCUUGUUGGUGAGGUAAUGGCUCACCAAGGCAUUGACGGGUAGCCG
rnacentral:rRNA from 1 species